UAGGGUGUCUAUAUGUCAUGUUUAACAUAGGGUUCCCUCUUAUAGUCAUGUUUAUACAUUACGGUCCCUCUAUAGUCAUGUUUAUACUAUAUGGUUCCCUCUAUAAGUCAUGUUUUAUCCUAUAUGGUUCCCUCUAUAGUCAUGUUUAUACUAAUGGUUCCCUAUAGUCAUGUUAUACUAUAUGGUUCAUAGUCAUGUUUAUACUAUAUGGUUCCCUCUAUAGUCAUGUUCAUACUAUUGGUUCCCCUAUAGUCAUGUUCAUACUAUAUGGUUCCCUCUAUAGUCAUGUUUAUACUAUAUGGUUCCCUCUAGUCAUGUUUAUACUAUAUGGUUCCCUCUAUAGUCAUGUUUAUACUAUAUGGUUCUAUAAUCAUGUUUAUACUAUAUGGUUCUAUAGUCAUGUUUACACUAUGGUUCCCUCUAUAGUCAUGUUUAUACUAUAUGGUUCCUUUUCAAUAAUUAUAAUAAUAAUAUUUAUUUAUUAUGGACCCUAUUUACCUUCAUAUUACCCUGUCUGAUUUAGCUGGUUUGCAGUGUGUCGUCAUCAGUAUGUUGAAUGAAUCAUACAAUUAAAACCUAUUUCUACUGAGUUAUAUAAAACAGUUAUAUUUUCACACUUCUUCAAUCUGAUAUGAAGGGUGUAUCUCAAUCUUAAAUGGUGUCCCCUCUCCUUGCUUCCUUCCCUUCAUCAGCACUGAUAUGAAACAACGAGUGGCAAAAUCAGGUUCCCUGGGACCCAACAUGCAGCUCUUGCAUCUGAAUUAAGACGCUUCCCUUUGUCUGUCUACUUACUACAUCAUGGGCCAUCGGUCUUUCUCUUUGGUCUCUCCUGUCAGAUGGGAUUGGCUGGAGCUGGGGUGGUUAAGCAUCAGAGGGCAGGUCAGAGGGGAUGGUGAGGGUGUGUAGCAGGAGGUGGACAGUGGUGGUGGCGGGGGGGAACCAGAGAGGGCGUUCAGGGAAGACUUCAGAGUCUCACAGGCUGCAACAAUCACCUACAUGACAGGGAGGAGGGGAGGCUAGGGUUGGCAAUGCUUGCUUUUUUGGCCAUAGCGCCGCAAAACAAUAAAACCAAAACCUAGCUCGUCUUUGAGCCUUUCUACACAGGUCUUCCGGUCCCUCUCAGCUACCGGACAGCUAAGCUGUUUACCGGCAUAUCCAACAAAAGAAAACAGAAAUCCAACAGGCUUAAUCUUACUGGGGUCAGGUCUAGGGCCAAAUAACAUCCGGUAGGUUCCUGUCCAGUUGGGUUCGAGAUCCCUCCCAGCGUUGGAGGGCUUUGUAUGUCAGCUCUUGCUGCUCCAAGCCAAAAACAGAUCUGGCUAAAGCCAGGCAAAAAAUAAUUAAUAACACCACCCAACCUCCAAGCUAAGCUUUAUUCUGGUGUGUGUCAUUAGGCUCUUACCCUUCCAGGCCUACCUCUCUUCUGGCCAGCAGAUGUCGCCAACGAGCAGGAAUAGAACGGCCUUCACACACCCACCCUUUCAGUCCAUCACAAUGGUGAAAUGCGCACACAGUGGACACAUAUUUUUG
rnacentral:lncRNA from 1 species